rnacentral:lncRNA from 1 species
AUUCGAUCAAUUCCAAAAGAAUCUAAUGCAAAUCACUGGAAUACAAUAUCACAUAAAAUUGGAAUACUCUAUCAUGUUUUGUUAUGUCACUACAGAUUAAUAAUCAAACCUCCCUUUUGAAUUCUCACUCACUUGCAAUUGUAGCUGAACGGAAGCCAAAAGUAAUUGAUUUGAGUGCUGCAAUAUGCAGAAAUACAGAGAGAAAAUAGGCUAUAAAUCACAAACGAACCUGUAAGGCAGUUAUUAAAGGAUUUCUACUCUCACCACAUAUAAGAUCACAUUUUUUUACUGGCAAAUGAUUGAAAACAUCAGUUAUUAAAAUACUAUAAAUAAGCAGCUACCACAAACGGACCUGUAAGGCAGAACGCAUAAGCUCGUCAACAUAAUCAAUAGUAGCACAUAAGUUACCAACUCCAGAUCACAAAUCAUAUUCCUCAGAAUCCUUUGGGCAGGCUCAGCAAAUAAAAAUAUAGCUCAGAAAGAUGGAACUGGAACUGGAAAUAGAAAUAGAAUCAUACCGUCAGCAGAUGGUUGAGAGGCACUUUGAAUUCCUUGAUGGCGAAUUUCAGAACUAAAAUAUAGAGAAAGAAAAAGAAUUAAACCAGUAACAAUUACAAUAAAGCUUAAAACUGAUUCUUGACAUAUGUGUAAAGAAUAGAAGAAAAGUAUAACAUUGUGAUAAAAGCAACAAUGCCUGCAAGAUUUCAAACAACAGUGAUAAAAUACCUCAAAGAAUUUCAUUACUUUU